rnacentral:rRNA from 1 species
UGGGGAAUUUUGGACAAUGGGCGAAAGCCUGAUCCAGCAAUGCCGCGUGUGUGAAGAAGGCCUUCGGGUUGUAAAGCACUUUUGUCCGGAAAGAAAUCCUUGGCUCUAAUACAGUCGGGGGAUGACGGUACCGGAAGAAUAAGCACCGGCUAACUACGUGCCAGCAGCCGCGGUAAUACGUAGGGUGCAAGCGUUAAUCGGAAUUACUGGGCGUAAAGCGUGCGCAGGCGGUUUGCUAAGACCGAUGUGAAAUCCCCGGGCUCAACCUGGGAACUGCAUUGGUGACUGGCAGGCUAGAGUAUGGCAGAGGGGAGUAGAAUUCCACGUGUAGCAGUGAAAUGCGUAGAGAUGUGGAGGAAUACCGAUGGCGAAGGCAGCCCCCUGGGCCAAUACUGACGCUCAUGCACGAAAGCGUGGGGAGCAAACAGGAUUAGAUACCCUGGUAGUCCACGCCCUAAACGAUGUCAACUAGUUGUUGGGGAUUCAUUUCCUUAGUAACGUAGCUAACGCGUGAAGUUGACCGCCUGGGGAGUACGGUCGCAAGAUUAAAACUUAAAGGAAUUGACGGGGUCAUAGCUGUUUCCU